UUACCAGGAUGGGGGUCCUUGGGAAUGGAGAUGCUGGGGAAUGGCUGUCCUGGGAUGGGCGUCCCAGGGAGGGGGGACAUAAGGAAUGGGGGUCCCAUGGUCGGGGUUUUCAGAGGAAUGGGGGUCCCAGGGAUGGGCAGUGGCUGCGUGGGCACGUGGGUCGCAGCUCCUUCCCUGGGUGCCUCCGAUUUUGGGUUCGUGGCUCAGCGAUCCCAGGGAGCUCCCGAGCAGGGAACGGGUCCUGAGGGUCCCCCCCGCCCCCUGGGCUUUGACUCUCGCAGCUUUAGAGCUGCUGCAAGGUGAGAAUUGUGUGGGGGAAAAGGCGUGGCUGUGGUUUGCUCAGGCCUGC